GACGAACGCUGGCGGCGUGCUUAACACAUGCAAGUCGAACGGAAAGGCCCUGCUUUUGUGGGGUGCUCGAGUGGCGAACGGGUGAGUAACACGUGAGUAACCUGCCCUUGACUUUGGGAUAACUUCAGGAAACUGGGGCUAAUACCGGAUAGGAGCUCCUGCUGCAUGGUGGGGGUUGGAAAGUUUCGGCGGUUGGGGAUGGACUCGCGGCUUAUCAGCUUGUUGGUGGGGUAGUGGCUUACCAAGGCUUUGACGGGUAGCCGGCCUGAGAGGGUGACCGGCCACAUUGGGACUGAGGUACGGCCCCGACUCCUACGGGAGGCAGCAGUGGGGAAUAUUGCACAAUGGGCGGGAGCCUGAUGCGGCAACGCCGCGUGCGGGAUGGCGGCCUUCGGGUUGUAAAACGCUUUCGCCUGUGACGAAGCGUGGGUGACGGUAAUGGGUAAAGAAGCACCGGCUAACUACCUU
rnacentral:rRNA from 1 species